UACGCAGGGUGCAAGCGUUAAUCGGAAUUACUGGGCGUAAAGCGUGCGCAGGCGGUUUGGUAAGACAGAUGUGAAAUCCCCGGGCUCAACCUGGGAAUUGCAUUUGUGACUGCCCGGCUAGAAUCUGGCAGAGGGGGGUAGAAUUCCACGUGUAGCAGUGAAAUGCGUAGAGAUGUGGAGGAAUACCGAUGGCGAAGGCAGCCCCCUGGGCCAAGAUUGACGCUCAUGCACGAAAGCGUGGGGAGCAAACAGG
rnacentral:rRNA from 1 species